GUAAGCACUUUGAUUUGCCACUUUGUAUAAAAUGUGCUAUAUAAAUAAAACCAUGCCUUCAUUUUUUGAAAUAGGGUCUGAAUACAGUUUCCAUUGCUUUAUUACAGUCUGUGCGUCUGAGAUGAUCCACGUGAGUUUUCUUCUGCUGGAAGGUGAAACAUUGACCCUGAGUAGUUAAACGGUCUGCUGCUCAGGUGCGUUCAGGAGCAGAGAGGAAACCAUCGCUGUAUGUUUGCAGUUUUCAUCACUCUCUAAAUCUCUCUCUGUCUCUCUCUCAUUGCGGGACUGAACUGUGAUUGCCAUUAAGGGGAAUUAUUAAGUUUGCCCACAAAACCAGUGCAAAUAACUCAGCGCUGAGCUGCCGGAUGGCUUUGGAAGGGCAACCUCCCAGAGGGACGGCGUUGGGAGCUUAAUUAGAAUGUCAGGAGACACUUUCAAAGUAGUGUGAGAUGAGAGUCCACUCCGAUGGGAAACCCGAGCCGAUCCUCUUUCCCAGUUCAAGGCAAAUUGUUGAAUGGGAUCAGACGCGAGGAAUCACAUCUUCUGCAGCGUCUCCUCUGCUAGCAUCUCUCUAAGGUCAAGUCGUUCGUGAUGGCCUCCCUGAAGCGGCAGCUGCUCGGUAUAAGGUUACAAUUUCACCUGUGCGCUGCAGUAACGCAGGAACUGGCAUGUCAUUGAGGAGCGGGUAAUUAUUCAACACGUCAGACUGCAAUGCCUGCAAUGUUAAUUACGCGGCAGGCUCCUCUCCGGGCAGAGAGAUUAAGCUCAGGAGCAAAGGCGCGGCGCUCAUUACGGUCACACCAGAGCAACAUGUGCAGGGGACAGCCUUCUCCCGCGCCGUCCCUGAACGAGUAUCCAGUUCACCACCAGAUGAUACUUUAUCAUUCCCACACCAUGUUUUAUUUUAGGUCAGAUGAGUAAGAUUUUACAACUGAGCACGUAAAAUAGAUUAGAUGGGUUUGACGAAAAUAGCAGCU